rnacentral:rRNA from 1 species
GACGAACGCUGGCGGCGUGCCUAAUACAUGCAAGUCGAACGCUUCUUUCCUCCCGAGUGCUUGCACUCAAUUGGAAAGAGGAGUGGCGGACGGGUGAGUAACACGUGGGUAACCUACCCAUCAGAGGGGGAUAACACUUGGAAACAGGUGCUAAUACCGCAUAACAGUUUAUGCCGCAUGGCAUAAGAGUGAAAGGCGCUUUCGGGUGUCGCUGAUGGAUGGACCCGCGGUGCAUUAGCUAGUUGGUGAGGUAACGGCUCACCAAGGCCACGAUGCAUAGCCGACCUGAGAGGGUGAUCGGCCACACUGGGACUGAGACACGGCCCAGACUCCUACGGGAGGCAGCAGUAGGGAAUUUUCGGCAAUGGACGAAAGUCUGACCGAGCAACGCCGCGUGAGUGAAGAAGGUUUGCGGAUCGUAAAACUCUGUUGUUAGAGAAGAACAAGGACGUUAGUAACGGAACGUCCCCUGACGGUAUCUAACCAGAAAGCCACGGCGAACUACGU